AUUGAACGCUGGCGGCAUGCCUUACACAUGCAAGUCGAACGGUAACGGGCCUUCGGGUGCCGACGAGUGGCGAACGGGUGAGUAAUGUAUCGGAACGUACCUUUCAGUGGGGGAUAACGUAGCGAAAGUUACGCUAAUACCGCAUAUUCUGUGAGCAGGAAAGCAGGGGAUCGCAAGACCUUGCGCUGAUUGAGCGGCCGAUAUCAGAUUAGCUAGUUGGUGAGGUAAAGGCUCACCAAGGCGACGAUCUGUGGCGGGUCUGAGAGGAUGAUCCGCCACACUGGAACUGAGACACGGUCCAGACUCAUACGGGAGGCAGCAGUGGGGAAUUUUGGACAAUGGGGGCAACCCUGAUCCAGCCAUGCCGCGUGAGUGGAGAAGGCCUUCGGGUUGUAAAGCUCUUUCGGCCGGGAAGAAAUCGUAUCAGCUAAUACCUGGUGCGGAUGACGGUACCGGCAUAAGAAGCACCGGCUAACUACGUGCCAGCAGCCGCCGUAAGAC
rnacentral:rRNA from 1 species